GUGCUCAUUUCAAUAACAUGCAUGAUAAAACUGAAGUGAGACAGAACAUGGCUCCUGCACAAGUAUGACGUACAAAUUUGCAAGUGUUCCAUAUUUUU
rnacentral:snRNA from 1 species